GUCAACUACCUCGCCCUGAAGGGCGAGGCUUGUAAAACAAGCCAGGUUGACCAGGGAAAGCGGCUGUAUCGUCGCUACGUUGAUAACAGGUCGUUAAGACUCACCGCCGAAUCCUUCCUCAGUUCGGCGCUCUGAAAGGUCGGCAUCAUGCUAGCGCAAGGUAAAACGCUGAAGGUGCUGAUCGCUGCCAAAAGGCAGGAGCCGGUUAUCGACAUUCCCGAGGGGAGACGAG
rfam:Halomonas sp. 54_146 DS1215_scaffold_119, whole genome shotgun sequence.